AUGAGAUCCUGGGAGAAAUAAGGGCAAACAGGAAGAAUACACUUCCCUAACUCCCUUGGAUUUGUGACUGCCUUCACAACACUCUGCAGCACAACUCUGCAGUGGUGACCGUCUCCCUCUGGCAGUCUCAGCUUGGGCAGGGCCUGAUUCAAAUCCAUUAAAGCCACUCUAAGAUCCUCUUUGAUUUCAAAGCGCUUUGGAUUUAGGCUUCUUUCCCAUCCAACAGGAGCCCCUUCCAAAUCAGCUCCAAGGCACAUCAGCUGGAUGCUGUGCAAAGGGUUUCAAGCAUCAGUUUGAGCUCUGUGGGUAUUAAAGAGCACAACGUCCUACUCGAUUUUCAAUCAGCCACAUUCUGCCAGAAGUUGUAUUUUGAAAGAAAGGAGAAGGGAAAGGGGAGGUAAUCCCUCACACAAGUGUAUGCAGUGUGCACCAGUAGAACAUAAGGAAGACAUAAUGACAUCUUAUUAAAACAAUCAUUGAAAUGAAAAUUGAUUAUUUACUUUGUAACCCAUUAUGCUUUCCCAGAAAGUAGUUUUCAGAUAUAAUUUUCAAUUUUCUUUGAACCAGAUGCGUCUCUAACCACAAUCAUAUUUACAGCUCACAGAUGUUGCCAAUUUCAAGCCACCAGAGCAGAAAGGAACACCAGGAAGAAAGAGAGGGAUGAAAACUGGUCAAGACUACAGGUCUGGUGUCUAUGGGCAGGACCAGAGCUCACUUGCAUGUGCAGAUGUUUGUUUUCCCAAGGACAUACUGAUGUGCCACUGCAGGUGACAUGGAGGGGCAGAAAGAGGGAAGCCCCUGACCUGCUUUCCUCCAGAAGCAGAUGGAAAAAUGCAGCAUGA
rnacentral:lncRNA from 1 species